rnacentral:snoRNA from 1 species
CUCCACUGAUAGACCUUGGACAGUUUGCGGGGUUUUUUUUGUUUGUUUGUUUGUUUGUUUUGUUUGCUCUGGGGAUGCAAAGGAGGGAAAUCCCUGCACUUCCUUUCUAUCUUUUUGGCAGCCCGGAUUGAAUUGGGGACUACAUCU